UCCGAGUUUCUCUCGGCAGUCCGGCCUGAGUGAUACAACAGGCCGCGAGGGUUGCGCUCGUUGCGGGACUUAACCCAACAUCUCACGACACGAGCUGACGACAGCCGUGCAACACCUGUGUACGCUCCCUUGCGGGUCCCUCCCCUUUCGGAUCGGUACCACGUACAUGUCAAGUCUCGGUAAGGUUCUUCGCGUACCAUCGAAUUAAACCGCACGCUCCGCUGCUUGUGCGGGCCCCCGUCAAUUCCUUUGAGUUUUAACCUUGCGGUCGUACUCCCCAGGCGGGUCACUUAAUGCGUUAGCUUCGGCACUGCCGGGGUCGAUACCGACAACACCUAGUGACCAUUGUUUACGGCUAGGACUAA
rnacentral:misc_RNA from 1 species